CCUGAGUACGACGGAGCACGUGAAAUUCCGUCGGAAUCUGGGAGGACCAUCUCCUAAGGCUAAAUACUCUCUAGUGACCGAUAGUGAACCAGUACCGUGAGGGAAAGGUGAAAAGUACCCCGGAAGGGGAGUGAAAGAGAACUUGAAACCGUGUGCUUACAAGUAGUCAGAGCCCGUUAAUGGGUGAUGGCGUGCCUUUUGUAGAAUGAACCGGCGAGUUACGAUCUGAUGCAAGGUUAAGCAGAAAAUGUGGAGCCGUAGCGAAAGCGAGUCUGAAUAGGGCGAAUGAGUAUUUGGUCGUAGACCCGAAACCAGGUGAUCUACCCUUGGUCAGGUUGAAGUUCAGGUAACACUGAAUGGAGGACCGAACCGACUUACGUUGAAAAGUGAGCGGAUGAACUGAGGGUAGCGGAGAAAUUCCAAUCGAACUUGGAGAUAGCUGGUUCUCUCCGAAAUAGCUUUAGGGCUAGCCUCAAGUGAUGAUUAUUGGAGGUAGAGCACUGUUUGGACGAGGGGCCCCUCUCGGGUUACCGAAUUCAGACAAACUCCGAAUGCCAAAUAAUUUAACUUGGGAGUCAGAAUGUGGGUGAUAAGGUCCAUAUUCGAAAGGGAAACAGCCCAGACCACCAGCUAAGGUCCCAAAAUAUAUGUUAAGUGGAAAAGGAUGUGGCGUUGCCCAGACAACUAGGAUGUUGGCUUAGAAGCAGCCAUCAUUUAAAGAGUGCGUAAUAGCUCACUAGUCGAGUGACACUGCGCCGAAAAUGUACCGGGGCUAAACAUAUUACCGAAGCUGUGGAUUGUCCUUUGGACAAUGGUAGGAGAGCGUUCUAAGGGCGUUGAAGCAUGAUCGCAAGGACAUGUGGAGCGCUUAGAAGUGAGAAUGCCGGUGUGAGUAGCGAAAGACGGGUGAGAAUCCCGUCCACCGAUUGACUAAGGUUUCCAGAGGAAGGCUCGUCCGCUCUGGGUUAGUCGGGUCCUAAGCUGAGGCCGACAGGCGUAGGCGAUGGAUAACAGGUUGAUAUUCCUGUACCACCAUUAUUCGUUUUAAGCGAUGGGGGGACGCAGUAGGAUAGGCGAAGCGUGCUGUUGGAGUGCACGUCCAAGCAGUGAGAUUGAGUGUUAGGCAAAUCCGGCACUCUUAAGAUUGAGCUGUGAUGGGGAGAGGAACUUGUUCCUCGAGUCGUUGAUUUCACACUGCCGAGAAAAGCCUCUAGCUAGAAUAACGGUGCCCGUACCGCAAACCGACACAGGUAGUCAAGAUGAGAAUUCUAAGGUGAGCGAGCGAACUCUCGUUAAGGAACUCGGCAAAAUGACCCCGUAACUUCGGGAGAAGGGGUGCUCUUUGAGGUUCACGCUUCGAAGAGCCGCAGUGAAUAGGCCCAAGCGACUGUUUAUCAAAAACACAGGUCUCUGCUAAACCGUAAGGUGACGUAUAGGGGCUGACGCCUGCCCGGUGCUGGAAGGUUAAGAGGAGUGGUUAGCGCAAGCGAAGCUACGAAUCGAAGCCCCAGUAAACGGCGGCCGUAACUAUAACGGUCCUAAGGUAGCGAAAUUCCUUGUCGGGUAAGUUCCGACCCGCACGAAAGGCGUAACGAUUUGGGCACUGUCUCAACGAGAGACUCGGUGAAAUCAUAGUACCGGUGAAGAUGCCGGUUACCCGCGACAGGACGGAAAGACCCCGUGGAGCUUUACUGUAGCCUGAUAUUGAAAUUCGGUACAGUUUGUACAGGAUAGGUAGGAGCCUUAGAAGCGUGAGCGCUAGCUUACGUGGAGGCAUUGGUGGGAUACUACCCUAAUUGUAUUGGAUUUCUAACCCGCAGCACUUAUCGUGCUGGGAGACAGUGUCAGGCGGGCAGUUUGACUGGGGCGGUCGCCUCCUAAAGAGUAACGGAGGCGCUCAAAGGUUCCCUCAGAAUGGUUGGAAAUCAUUCAUAGAGUGUAAAGGCAUAAGGGAGCUUGACUGCGAGACCUACAAGUCGAGCAGGGUCGAAAGACGGACUUAGUGAUCCGGUGGUUCCGCAUGGAAGGGCCAUCGCUCAACGGAUAAAAGCUACCCCGGGGAUAACAGGCUUAUCUCCCCCAAGAGUUCACAUCGACGGGGAGGUUUGGCACCUCGAUGUCGGCUCAUCGCAUCCUGGGGCUGUAGUCGGUCCCAAGGGUUGGGCUGUUCGCCCAUUAAAGCGGUACGCGAGCUGGGUUCAGAACGUCGUGAGACAGUUCGGUCCCUAUCCGUCGUGGGCGUAGGAAAUUUGAGAGGAGCUGUCCUUAGUACGAGAGGACCGGGAUGGACAUACCUCUGGUGUACCAGUUGUCGUGCCAACGGCAUAGCUGGGUAGCUAUGUAUGGACGGGAUAAGUGCUGAAAGCAUCUAAGCAUGAAGCCC
rnacentral:rRNA from 1 species